UCGAGAAUUUUUCACAAUGGGGGAAACCCUGAUGGAGCGACGCCGCGUGGGGGAUGAAUGGCUUCGGCCCGUAAACCCCUGUCAUUUGCGAACAAACCUUUGCGGAUAACACAUGCAAAGUUGAUAGUAGCGGAAGAGGAAGGGACGGCUAACUCUGUGCCAGCAGCCGCGGUAAUACAGAGGUCCCAAGCGUUGUUCGGAUUCACUGGGCGUAAAGGGUGCGUAGGUGGCCGGGUAAGUCUGAUGUGAAAUCUCGGAGCUCAACUCCGAAACUGCAUUGGAUACUAUCCGGCUGGAGGGUCGGAAGGGGGACUGGAAUUCUCGGUGUAGCAGUGAAAUGCGUAGAUAUCGAGAGGAACACCAGUGGCGAAGGCGAGUCCCUGGACGACUCCUGACACUGAGGCACGAAAGCUAGGGGAGCAAACAGGAUUAGAUACCCCUGUAGUCC
rnacentral:rRNA from 1 species